UCGAGAAUCAUUCACAAUGGGGGAAACCCUGAUGGUGCGACGCCGCGUGGGGGAAUGAAGGUCUUCGGAUUGUAAACCCCUGUCAUGUGGGAGCAAAUUAAAAAGAUAGUACCACAAGAGGAAGAGACGGCUAACUCUGUGCCAGCAGCCGCGGUAAUACAGAGGUCUCAAGCGUUGUUCGGAAUCACUGGGCGUAAAGCGUGCGUAGGCUGUUUCGUAAGUCGUGUGUGAAAGGCGCGGGCUCAACCCGCGGACGGCACAUGAUACUGCGAGACUAGAGUAAUGGAGGGGGAACCGGAAUUCUCGGUGUAGCAGUGAAAUGCGUAGAUAUCGAGAGGAACACUCGUGGCGAAGGCGGGUUCCUGGACAUUAACUGACGCUGAGGCACGAAGGCCAGGGG
rnacentral:rRNA from 1 species